CCGCCGCCGUAGCCGCCGCCGUAGCCGCCACCGCCGCCGGAACUUCCGCCGUAGCCGCCGCCGGAACUUCCGCCGCCGCGUCCGCCGCCGUAGCCGCCGCCGCCGCCGCCGGAACUACCGGGAGUGAGGGUUAUGUUCGGUUAACUCUAACUUUGAGAAAUGGUCAGCAUUGGUGUUUUCCGGGUGAUGCACCUUGUCAAGGCUCUGUGAUCUGGUGCUGGGACACUUUUGACUGACCAGGUGAAUGUCUUCUUUCAGUCCUGGAAGUGAUCACUGAAACCAUUUGAAUUUAACCUCCAAAGUCUCUGAAUGGGAAGCCAUAGGCCGAAUGGCCCUCUUCCUGCAAUUGGCCCUGUGCCUGGAUUAUUUCACCAAAGUUUGAUGUUAUACCAAGGACAGCUGGUGUGAUCAGAGGACCCAAGUAAGACAGACACCUGGAAGCCUGUCACCUUCCUGCUCCAGGAGCUGACCUGAACAGCGAACCAUUCUUCCACAUCUCUGCGGUUGUUGGCGAGCACCGUUUCAUACUGACAGCGCAUCUCAUCCAGGACCCUGUUGAGGUCGACGGUGGGGGCAGUGUCCAGCUCCACGCUGAGUCGGUCACCCAGCUGUCCGCGAAGCAAGUUGACCUCCUGAAUGGGGGAAUGGAGUCAAGAGUGUGACAGGGCAAAGGAGAUCGUCCUUCAGAGACUCCACGUGGGCCUCCAGAUCGGCUUUGCACAGAGUCAACUCACCCAGGAUCCCACGCAGGCCGCCAAUGUCCGUCUCCAGCAGCUGGCGAAGAGACAGUUCAGACUCGUACCUUUCACGGCAAAAGAGAUACAGCCAAUGCUUACUUGGCUGGAGACAGUGCUGGGGAUGCUGGGGAGUGACAAGAGGACUCAAGGAAGCCACAUCCCAAAUAAUAAAUGUGAGUUUUGUGAGCAUUCUUAGCUUUAAAAAAGCUUAUAGAGAGAAUAUUUGUGGUGUGUGCACACGCACUUGUGUGUGUGAGACAGAGAGAGCGAGAGAGAGAGUGAGAGAGAGGCAGUCAUAAAUUAUUCCCAAGUUCAAAUUCAACUUACUUUGACCUAAAGUCAUCGGCAGCCAGUUUGCAGUUGUCAAGCUGAACAGCAAGUCUAGAAUUCUCUGCCUUUGUGCACAAGAUCUGGGAAGGAAGGUCGUUAUAUGUAAUAGAUGGCCCUUUGAAAGAAACCUAAAUAUCUAUUCAUUUAACAACUAUGCCAUUAUUUAUCUUUUAAAAGUCUUUAUAAGAAAGUAUAAAAUAGCUUUCAGCCUACUUCUCUUAUUAGACAUGUCACUUCAUGAAGAGACAAGCAGGACCAAUUUAUAAAAGAAAAAGACAAAAAAGGUUAGUUUUUCAAUGGCCUAAGACAUUUUGCAAUAUUCCUUGACAGUUGAACUCUGAUUUUUCUCCAUAAGUGGUUUGUAUUAUGACUCUAUCCCCACUCCAUGAAAAUAAAAAUUCAGCUGUAAGAAAAUGAUUCCUAGGGUGAAAUUAUGUGAUUAAAACGACAUUUCAAUAUCUAUGUUAAAAUAUAAAUAUAAACAUCCAGUGUUGCAUACAGAAUUAACUUUGGGUAUAACACAGUUUUUCCUUACUCUCUGGACGAUGAAGGUAAAAUCUGGACAUGAGAGAGUUUAUUAUGGCCGUCAGGGAUUACUGGUGUCUCAUCCCCAGGGCUAAUGCUGACGUUUCCUGACUUUCAGCCCACCACCCUUUCCUCUGGGUCACAUUACCUCCUGAAAAGUCCCCUUUCCCUGGGGGGACUUCCAAAGAAGCCUCUUUUAGUAUAAAGGUGGAGCAAAUCCCAGAUUGGAAGGGUGGAACAUUAGGGCAAUGAGACACCAGACCUUUUGCUGGAGAUCUUCAAUGGUGUCGAAGUAACACUGAUAAUCGGGGCACACCAAGGGGACCUCCCCUUCACACUGUUCUCGGAUCCUGCACUCCAGCUCCGCGUUCAUCUCCUCCAGGCCUCGCACCUUCUCCAGGUAGUUGGCGAGUCUGUCGUUCAGGAACUGCAUCGUCUCCUUCUCGUUGCUGUUGAACAUCCCAUCCUCACACCAAGCACCGCUCCCCACCAAGCACGGAAUGUGACAAUUCCCAGCCAAGUAGCACGGUGUGACACAGCCAGUUGCCAAGCGAGACCCAGAUAGGAAGCUAGGGGUCUGGCCUCUGGAGGUGGCUUGGGCGCUGGGGAGGUGAGUGGUUUCCAUGGAACAGGGUGAAGCGAACACACAGUCGGAAGCUGUGGCACAGGAUUCAGAGGAGCAGCACGUAGGGGAGCAGUCCGAAGGCAUCCUAUCGAACGAAGAACCAAGACUAGUUGCAAAACUCCGGCUGACUGGCUGCCGAGGUCUCCUUCCCUCCUGAGACUUUUAUACAGUCCCCCAGAUGGGUAUUUACGGAACAGACCGGAUGUUUUCCUUAUCACUGUUGGUGGCAGUUGUCAUAUGAACACUCAUCAGGGUUGUUUGUUUGCUGAGGAAGACUUUUAUGCUUCAUAAAAGAGGCAUAACUUCAGGUUACUAAAAAAGGACACUAUUUCCAUAUGCCAAUAGGAUAAAAUGUUUGGUCCAGAAUAAAAUCUUCUUAGGAAGCGCUGUCCGUUUGGCAGACUUUGGAAAGAUGGAGAAAAUGUGGCCCCUCAGUAAUUAUAGGUACAACUCAUUACAAAUAACGAAAACAAUAUUCCCACACAUUUUGAUCCUGGGCACUGGAAAUUGUUUAUGUAUCCUCUUAAAAUUCAUAUUACAUCUCAUUAAAUGCCAUUUAUUUGUUUGUGCCACCAUCAUAAAAAUGUUCCCUGUAGUUAGCAGUCUUUUCAACGCUUUUUAUGGUCUUGCUGUGCUCAGAUGGUGGAGGGGUGAGGUGUGUACUGGGUUUAAAGUGUGUGUGUGUGUGUGUGUGUGUGUGUGUGUGAACCAUGUCUACCUGUGCACACAUUGAAAAGUCACUUUAUGUAACAGAUGGGUACGAUCUGUGCCCUCCAGGCCAAAAGGCAAAUU